rnacentral:rRNA from 1 species
UUUACUGACGCUAAAGCUCGAAGGUGCGGGUAUCGAACAGGAUUAGAUACCCUGGUAGUCCGCACGGUAAACGAUGGAUGCCCGCUGUUUGCGAUAUAUUGUAAGCGGCCAAGAGAAAUCGUUAAGCAUCCCACCUGGGGAGUACGCCGGCAACGGUGAAACUCAAAGGAAUUGACGGGGGCCCGCACAAGCGGAGGAACAUGUGGUUUAAUUCGAUGAUACGCGAGGAACCUUACCCGGGCUUGAACUGCAGCGGAAGGAUACAGAGAUGUUGACGUCCUUCGGGACCGCUGUGGAGGUGCUGCAUGGUUGUCGUCAGCUCGUGCCGUGAGGUGUCGGCUUAAGUGCCAUAACGAGCGCAACCCUUUUCAUCAGUUGCCAUCAGGUGAUGCUGGGCACUCUGUUGAUACUGCCACCGUAAGGUGUGAGGAAGGUGGGGAUGACGUCAAAUCAGCACGGCCCUUACGUCCGGGGCUACACACGUGUUACAAUGGGGCAUACAGAAGGCAGGAUCAUGGCAACAUGGUUCAAAUCUUUAAAGUGCUCCUCAGUUCGGAUUGGGGUCUGCAACCCGACCCCAUGAAGCUGGAUUCGCUAGUA